AUUUCCUCUACGUAAUCUCCAAUCAGGUAAAAAACCUGUUCUUAUCAGCUUAAAAUCUGCUAUGCCCUGCAUCACAGAACUAGAAUAUUAAACUUAUAUUUGGCCUUUGACAGAGUGGUGGGAGCAUGCUCUGACUCCGUUACAGGAUGUUUCAUCAUUUCGAACUCUCUUAAGGUAGCCAGAUGCUU